UCGUCUCUAAUCUUUCAUAUCUCUGCAAGUUCAUCAUCAUCAUUUGUUGGUGAAGUAGAAGAAAUUUUGAUUCGCCAAGUUAUUUCUAAAAACUAUCACGAUCACCUAAUUCAAAAAUCGAAAUAUCACUUCAGAAACUUCCUCAAGAAAUUUGGGAAAAAUAUACUAGCGAAGGUGAACAUUCUUAUAGUUUUUGUGUGUUUAAAUCCAGCUUAGAACGUGUUAAACGUCAUCAGGUAUGGUUGAAAUGCCCUUAAUUUUUUUUUGAGUUAAAAAUUUUAGUAUGUGAUUUAAUUGUUUGUUUUGGUGAUUUUAUGGUACAUAUGGGUCUUGGUAGUCAUUCACUAUAACUGGAGCAUUAGAGGGAGCUAAUUUUAUUGUUACUCGGAAACUUGUUAUAACAACUUGUUGAUUGUGAUCAUGAGGUAAGGAGAUUUAGAAUAGAUUCGAAAUUAACAACAUAUUUGGUUCUCCAUUACUAGAUUCACACACACAAGGUGUUUGCUUAAAAUCCCGAGCGACCAGUUCUUGAGCCAAGAUUGUGUUGUUGUUGCUGAUUUAUAUGGUUGAUGGUCGUCUUGCUUGUGUUCGAAUGGUUUAGGAUGUCUGAGAAACAAGGAUAGAAAACAAAAUCUGGAUACUUGUGUAAUUCAAUUUUGGCUUGGAUUUGGGAUUAUUUUGCUCACUCGAAAAUCAAUUCAAAACUGAUGUAGCUGCCCUGAAAACUGCCAACAAGUGUUGUCUCUGUUGUUAGUAUUAUAAAAUGAAUGAAUGUACUUGUCAUUUUUUAGUACUUGUGUAUGUCAUGUAUCAUUGGUAUGUUUAGGUCUCGAAAUCGCUGGGAUUAAGAAACAUAUAAAGGAGCUAAAAACAUUUAAAAAAAAAAACCUCUCCACCACAAAAGUUACGCCUGCAACCUGUUUGAUAGAGGUGCAGAAAGAUGAACAAGGUUUAGCUUAGUGUCGAGCUUCGAAUCAAAUCGUCACUGACUCGCUUUCAUGACUCAUUUCAUCUAAGUCUGAGUCCAAUAAUUUAAGGGCUUAAAGGUAAAUUCACAAUGACUGAUUCACUUCAACUUAUGCAACAAAAAGUUUCUUAGGCAUUUUUUUCAAAAAAAAAAAAAAGCGGGAAAAAGGUCAAACU